CCUACGGGAGGCAGCAGUAAGGAAUAUUGCGCAAUGGACGAAAGUCUGACGCAGCGACGCCGCGUGGGGGAUGAAGGUCUUCGGAUUGUAAACCCCUUUCGGGAGGGAAGAUGGAGUGGGUAACCACUUGGACGGUACCUCCAGAAGCAGCCACGGCUAACUUCGUGCCAGCAGCCGCGGUAAUACGAAGGUGGCAAGCGUUGUUCGGAUUCACUGGGCGUACAGGGAGCGUAGGCGGUUAGGUAAGCCCUCCGUGAAAUCUCCGGGCCUAACCCGGAAAGUGCAGAGGGGACUGCUUGGCUAGAGGAUGGGAGAGGAGCGCGGAAUUCCCGGUGUAGCGGUGAAAUGCGUAGAGAUCGGGAGGAAGGCCGGUGGCGAAGGCGGCGCUCUGGAACAUUACUGACGCUGAGGCUCGAAAGCGUGGGGAGCAAACAGGAUUAGAUACCCCUGUAGUC
rnacentral:rRNA from 1 species